CAGCCACAGAGCCAAAGCCUCUUCUUUGGGAACUGCUGAAAUAAUUCCCUUUGGAGAUGAAGCAAAAGAGGAUGAGGAGAUUUGGGGAAAGCAAAGCCUGCAAGGCAUGCUUCAUCCGACUUGCUGAAGCAACCCUGGACUCUCCUUCCCUAAGAAGGGUCUGAGGGUUAUCCUGACCAGCCAUCCCUGAGAAAUGCCAUGCCCUGCUCUUCAGGAGCGUGCAUCUUGGGCGCUGAGCGUGCUUCGAACCC